CCGAGCUCUCCUUCUAGCAGUGCCUGCUCCCCAAGAUUUAGUCAUGUGUAUAAGUCAUGAACAGGUCAUGGGCUGUAAAUUUUUCUUUAUUGCCUGUGAACUGUCCAUGAUUUGUACUAAAGAUACCCAUGUCUAAAUCAUAGCCUUAUGCAGAACACUUUUUUUUUAAUAUGAAUAAAGAGAAUCCUUCAAAUAUAUUAUGAAAAUAGUGUUGGGGAAAAGAGAAGCUGCAGAGUAUGUGCCCAUAUGCACACAAGUCUAGUCUCUUGUGGGUUGUAACACUUUUGUGUCUCAUUUCAGCUGCGUUUAGUGGGCAGUUGCUGGGUGGUGGUGGUGGCCUUUGCUAUCGUAGAAUAUCAGAGUUGGAAGGGACCUCAGGAGGUCAUCCAGUCCAACCCCCUGCUCAAAGCAGGACCAAUCCCCAAAUAAAUCAUCCCAGCCAGGGCUUUGUCAAGCUAUACAGGAGGACAACCUAGAUCAGUGACUCUCAACCUUUCCAGACUAUUGUACCCCUUUCACGCAUCUGAUUUGUCUCGCAUACCCCCAAGUUACCCUUCACUUAAAAACUACUUGCUUACAAAAUCAGACAUAAAAAUACAAAACUGUCACCGUACACUAUUACUGAAAAACUGGUUACGGUCUCAUUUUUACCAUAUAAUUGUAAAAUAAAGCAAUUGGAAUAUAAAUAUUUUAUUUACAUUUUGGUGUAUAGUAUAUUGCCCAGUAUAAACAUGUCAUUGUCUGUAUGAAAUUUUAGUUUGUUCUGACUUCGCUAGUGCUUUUUAUGUAGUCUGUUGUAAAACUAGGCAAAUAUCUAGACCUCUGUGGACCCUCAGGGGCACAUGUAUCCCUGGUUGAGAAUCACAGAAUAUUAGGGUUGGAAGAGACCUUAGGAGGUCUAGUUCAAUCCCCUGCUCAAAGCAGGACCAACACCCACUAAAUCAACCCAGCCAGGGCUUUGUCAAGACAUGGGAAAGGGGAAAAUGUUCCCUUAGAGCCAUUACAUCUUGAAAAACUAACCCAGUAUUAUAUUUACUAUAAAUUGACAAUAAAUCUCUUUAUAAAAACACUUACUCUGAAAUGCUACUUCUGUUUUAACUUCCACAUGCUAUAGGUCCAACUUUUUAAAGUUGGAACAUGAGGUGUAGCCCUUAACUACUUCACUGGGGGGGCACAGUGCCUCAAUAGUAGCACAAGACCUCAAUGUGGUCAACUUAUGUAACCUUUAUGUGAUUGAAUUCAGUAGCCCACCAUAUAUUCACAAUGUAUUUUUAUAACAUUCCAUGAUUAGCAAAUCUUAAGGGCAUAGGAGACAGGGUCUUGCAGACUAGCACAUCUUAUACUUUGAAAAAUAAUAUAUUUUUUUAACUCACAAAUUUCAGAGAAACCAAUACUUCUUUUUUGCAUCCCAAAAUAUUUGAACAAUUAUAAUUUCUCUGGCUCUAUGGUUUGGGAACAUAUUUAACUGGUUUAUGGGGGAAAACCGUCUGAAUAUACAGAUGCAAAAUCUAAGUGCAAUAUUGUAGAAGUAGAGGAGUUUACAUUGCUUUCUUUGAAAAUAAUGAGGAAUAGAAAAAAAAACUUGCUCUUUUGGUGUACAAUAUACAGUACAUUAUAAUUUAAGGUUUUUUUUCACCUUUGUAUCUUCUGUAUAUUGUUUACAAUAGAGAUUACGGUUAAAUAUUUUAGAUUGGAUUUUGUCUUGAUCUUGGGCCCUUCAAUUAUUUCCUUAUGCAAGAAAUACAGUGUAUCUAUAUAGGUUUGUGUGUGUGCAUGUGCACACAAACCUAACCUAUGCAAACCCAAAGUAAAGUGGAGGAGCAGCGGCCAGUUACAUUCUAUAUUUUUCAAGGUGAAGUGAGGAGUUACCAAGGCUGCAUUGCCACCUCCUAUGCAACAGCAAGUAUUAAUUACUUUUAAUUCUAGUUCUAAAUAAAAACAUAACAUAAUGUAUCCACUUGGAGGCAAUACAAGAAAACUAAUUGAACCAAACAUCUUUAAAUAAUGCAACAGUCCUUUAAAAUAGUGAGCAGGAGCCUUGUUUUUCCUUCUUAUAAAUACUGUAGCAACAGAAUCAACAUUAGCUGCUAGUAAAUUAGCCAGCUCUCCUAGAGCUGAGAAUGAGGGAUGUCUAGCAUCUAGGACUGGAAAAUCCUAACUGUCAGUAAUGUUAAUAUAUAUUAAACCCUAUCGAAGCAACAAACAAAACCAUCCCACUCUUGUAGAGUGUAUGUGAAUUCUUUCUAAAAGAAACAAACCUCCAUCGCACUCAAGCAUAUGCCUUUUUAUUUCCCAAAAAGCAGCUUUAGUUUAAGGCCAGGCUGUGGUGAUGGAGGGUUUCCAGAAGAACAAAGCUCUUGUACGCUACAAAAAUUGUAAGUGCAGAAUUUUUGUGUCUGUUUUAUUUGUGUUGGGAGGGGAGCAUGCAUGUCAGUUUCACGCAAGUAAGAUCACUUUUUGUCCCUGCUUUUUAGUAAAUGCACUUUAAUGUAAGAUGUGUGGAUUUAUAUUUAUAUUUGUUUUAUGCUUUUAUAGUCAACUGUUGCAAAUGUAGUGAAUAAAUAUUUAUUCUGUUGUCAAUGUUAUGGUGUCAGAAAAUAAGCUAUGGAAAAUUAGCUACCUUGAGUGAGGAGUUUCUUUGAUACUCAGGUUUACAACUUAUGGGGCCUGUUGGCUGUUCAUUUGCUGCUGGAUACUGCCUAUAGCAUCAUAGGAAUAGAAUGCUUGUCCUCAUCUGCACUUAACUACUAGGUAACAACGUUUUAUUUUGGAAAUGGGGACCUCAGCACAGUGGUCCAGAUCUUUGUCACCUUCCAAUUUAAUGACAGAAUGCACGUUAGAUGGGACUACACCUUAAGACCAUUUGGAACCUGGAGCUAGUAUAGAAUAUGGCAGUUCUUUCAGAGUAGCUGGUCCCUUCAAGGAAACUGGACUCGGUUCUCCUGUUCCACUCUAGGUACUCCAUAUCUGGGCCAAUUAAAAGAGCAGGACAGCAGCAGGAAGCUGUAAGAGGCCUGGAGAGUCAGUCAGGAGACCACAAACUGACUCAGAGGAGACAGAACAGGAGAUCAGAGUGAUCACAGAGAGAUGGUUCCUGGGAAAGGGCAGCAAAGCAAGAGAGCCAGGGUGGGAGGACUAAAGACAGGUGGAGCCGCAGGAGAUUCCUGCUGGCUCCAGGCUGGAGACCUGGAGCCGAGGGCGGGAGAGGGUUGAAGGCAGGGGGACAGCAGUGGGCCUUACUUGCUGGCAUGUCCUUGGUGGUGAGCUGUGCCCGAGAGGAAUAAUAGGAGGUGCCUAGCAGAGAGGCUGCAUGAGCUCCUGUUGGGAAGAGCAGCAUUGUAUUCCAGAAGGAAGGGCUCAGGGCAGCAGUCUUGGCAGAGGGAUAGAGGCGGACUGAGUAAGAGUCCAGGCAUGGUGGAAGACACUGGCAUUUGGUACGUUCUCUGUUGAUGGACUAGAAAAGACUACAUGCACUGGGAGGAGAUUUGAUUAUGUUGUGGAACUUUUGGUUAUGGACUUUUGCAAUCUUUCAUUAUGUUGAUAAACUUGAGGACAUGCUGGCAUAGAGACCUUUAGAUUAUCCAAAAGGGAAACUGAGGUAAGGGGCCAUUUGCAGGGCUGUCCUGAAGCUACAUGGGAGCACCCAGGAGGAGGCCACACAUUUUCACAGUGCUUUCUGUAGAGAGCAUGUUAAGCUUGUAAGCUGUAGUCAGCAUUGGCUUCCAGUUCGUUUCCAGGUGAUGUUUUAAGGAACUGCCUUUGACCUAUGAGGCCCAAAGUGUUUUGACUGUUUGGCUGCCAUAGGGACCUGUUGCUAUCCUCAUAUGAUACUCUGAUGAUUGCAAUCAGAUGGAUUGAUCAAACAAACAUCCUCUAGAUUUAAAUGGGAGGGGAUAGUACUGGAGAUUCCCAGUUGAGGAAGCCUCAGUUCUGAAAACUACUUAUCCCUCCUGCUCCAAAGGAGUCCAGAUUCACUGGGCUUCAGGGCAUGUUCCAAAGCCUAUCUGUUCUCACAAGCUUUUCCUGUGAGGAAACUGGGAUAGCAGGAGAGGGAAAGUGUUUGUUUUAUUUUUGGUAGAUUGAGGCAUUGUGUCUUUGGCUGAGGUUCUGUGCUGUGUCUCAAAGGGGGGUAGCCCAAGGAGAGGAGGGCAAAGGGGUUUUAGAGCUACUUUUGUGCCUUCCUAAUCAUGGGUUCUGCAAGGACCACAUCAUCUUCUGGUGUAACUUAAGCCACUGUGAGGACAGGCUGCUUUAAGUUACAGUACCCUCCCCAAGGCUGCCUACAGCUUGCAGUGCAAGAAAGAAUGACUGCAAUGGUGUGAGUUACAGCCCAACAACAUCCCCACCACCCCAUCCUCUGCCCUCAGGUCCACUCUAGCAUGCAUCCUAUGCCCAGGGUCAUCAGGAAGCAGCAAAAAAAAAAUGGUACACAGAGGCCAGAGUGGGCAGGGGUGUGGGGGUGUUAGAAGCAAAUUCUCUAUGUGGAUAUGGCCUAUAAUUAAGUUUGUAUAUAUUUUUAAGCGAACGCGUACUUCUGUAUAGAUAGCGACUGACUAGUUUUUCAGACCGCAUCAUUAGGUGGCUGCUGAAGAACAUUAAAAUGUGUUCACCAAGAGAUUAUAAUAAUACAGUCUGGACCAAGAUUUUAUAUCUUGAUUUGCUGCAACUCUGAAUAAGCUUCCCAAACCUGAAGAAGAGCUCUGUGUAGUGUGAAAGCUUGUGUGUCUCCAACAGAAGUUGGUCCAGUAGAAGAUAUUACCUCACCCACCUUAUCUCAGGUCACAAAACGUAAUGAUAAAUGGGGAAUCAUCAUCAUCAAGCCUGUGUGUUUCUAGUGGACUUCCACAGAGAUCCAUUCUCGGCCUUUGGCUAUUUCAUAUUUUUAUCAGUGACUUGGAUGAAAACUUUGAUAACAUUUGAAGAUAACACAAAAAUGGGAGAGUGUUAACCAAUGAGGAGGACAUGUCACUGAUGCAGUGAGCUGGAUCACUUGGACAGAAGCAACUUUGUCUGUACAAAGUGCAACCUGGUCUCCAUAUUGGAAGAGAAGGUUCAAGGUCUGGAGAAACAAGUAUCGACCCUGUGUUGCAUAAGAGAAACUGAAGAUUUCCUGGACAGACAUCAGGAUAUGCUUCUACGGGCACAAUGUUCUGAAGAUUCAGAGCAGGCUGCACUGCGGGGACAGGAGGACGGUGAAGAAAUUUGGCAGCAUGUGACCUCCAGAAGAAGAAAGGGGACUGUCCAUGUACCAGCAGCGCAGAUUCAGCUGCAUGUGUUUCAAGGAUCACAGGAUCUUCUCCUUCCCAGAGGCUACCGAAGAUCAGAAGGCGAAAAAAAUACAUUCGCGAUGAAAUGUUCUCUGAGCUCAUGCUGUCCUCCCACACUGACAGAGCACAGACAAAUGCAUGGAAGCAGACAAUGUCAGAGUGCAGGAAAGCACAAAAUGACCGGGAGGAGAGGUGGCGGGCUGAAGAGAGGGCUGAAGCUGAAAGGUGGCGGCAGCAUGACGAGAGGAGGCAAGAUUCAAUGCUGAGGCUGCUGGAGGAUCAAACUAAUAUGCUCCAGCGUAUGGUUGAGCUGCAGGAAAGGCAGCAGGAGCACAGACAGCCGCUACAGCCCCUGUGUAACCAACCGCCCUCCUCCCCAAGUUCCAUAGCCUCCUCACCCAGAUGCCCGAGAACGCAGUGGGGGGGCCUCCGGCCACCCAGCCACUCCACCCCAGAGGAUUGCCCAAGCAACAGAAGGCUGGCAUUCAAUAAGUUUUAAACUUUUAGAGUGCUGUGUGGCCUUGUCCUUCCCUCCUCCUCCACCCCUCCUGGUGCUUCUCUCCACCACCCAUCUUGGGCUACCUUGGCAGUUAUCCCCCUAUUUAUG